GUCCCUGUAGCGCAAUGAAAAGCGCUUUGGACCUCUAAUUCGAAAGUCGUGGGUUCAAAUCCCACCGGGGAUG